rnacentral:misc_RNA from 1 species
GAUGAAGAACGUAGCGAAAUGCGAUAAGUAAUGUGAAUUGCAGAAUUCAGUGAAUCAUCGAAUCUUUGAACGCACAUUGCGCCCGCCAGUAUUCUGGCGGGCAUGCCUGUCUGAGCGUCAUUUCAACCCUCAUGCCCCUAGGGCGUGGUGUUGGGGAUCGGCCAAAGCCCGCGAGGGACGGCCGGCCCCUAAAUCUAGUGGCGGACCCGUCGUGGCCUCCUCUGCGAAGUAGUGAUAUUCCGCAUCGGAGAGCGACGAGCCCCUGCCGUUAAACCACCAACUUUCCAAGGUUGACCUCAGAUCAGGUAGGAAUACCCGCUGAACUUAAGCAUAUCAAUAAGCGGAGGA